rnacentral:rRNA from 1 species
ACGGGUGAGUAAUGUGUAGAGAAUCUGCCCUAGAGAUGGGGACAACAGGUUGGAAACGACUGCUAAGUACCCAAUAUGCGCGUACCUGAAAUGGUAUUCGUGAAAACUCCGGUGCUCUGGGAUGAAGUCUGCAUCUGAUUAGCUAGUUGGGGGUGUAAUGGACCACCAAGGGCGACGAUCAGUAGCUGGUUUGAGAGGAUGAUCAGCCACAAUGGGACUGAGACACGGCCCAUACUCCUACGGGAGGCAGCAGUAGGGGAAUUUUGCGCAAUGGGGGAAACCCGUGACGCAGCAACGCCCGCGUGAUUGAUGAAGCCCUUCGGGGUGUAAAGAUCUGUCAGUAGGGAAGAACAAAUGACUGUACCUACAGAGGAAGCAUCCGGCUAACUCCGUGCCAGCAGCCGC